rnacentral:rRNA from 1 species
AGUGAACGCUGGCGGUAGGCCUAACACAUGCAAGUCGAACGGCAGCACAGUAAGAGCUUGCUCUUACGGGUGGCGAGUGGCGGACGGGUGAGGAAUACAUCGGAAUCUACUUUUUCGUGGGGGAUAACGUAGGGAAACUUACGCUAAUACCUCAUACGACCUACGGGUGAAAGCAGGGGAUCUUCGGACCUUGCGCGAUUGAAUGAGCCGAUGUCGGAUUAGCUAGUUGGCGGGGUAAAGGCCCACCAAGGCGACGAUCCGUAGCUGGUCUGAGAGGAUGAUCAGCCACACUGGAACUGAGACACGGUCCAGACUCCUACGGGAGGCAGCAGUGGGGAAUAUUGGACAAUGGGCGCAAGCCUGAUCCAGCCAUACCGCGUGGGUGAAGAAGGCCUUCGGGUUGUAAAGCCCUUUUGUUGGGAAAGAAAAGCAGCAGGUUAAUACCCCGCUGUUCUGGCGGUACCCAAAGAAUAAGCACCGGCUAACUUCGUG